UACGGAGGGGGCCAGCGUUGUUCGGAAUCAUUGGGCGUAAAGGGCGCCUAGGUGGCGGAGCAAGUCGGACGUGAAAGCCCUCGGCUCAACCGGGGAAUUGCAUCCGAAACUGCCCUGCUCGAGUCCUGGAGAGGGUAGCGGAAUUCCCAGUGUAGCGGUGAAAUGCGUAGAUACUGGGAGGAACACCGGUGGCGAAGGCGGCUACCUGGACAGGUACUGACACUGACGCGCGAAAGCGUGGGGAGCAAACGGG
rnacentral:rRNA from 1 species